AUUGAACGCUGGCGGCAGGCUUAACACAUGCAAGUCGAGCGGGGAAAAGUAGCUUGCUACUGGACCUAGCGGCGGACGGGUGAGUAAUGCUUAGGAAUCUGCCUAUUAGUGGGGGACAACAUCUUGACAGGGAUGCUAAUACCGCAUACGUCCUACGGGAGAAAGCAGGGGAGCUUCGGGCCUGGCGCUAUUAGAUGAGCCUAGGUCGGAUGAGCUAGUUGGUGGGGUAAGGCCUACCAAGGCGACGAUCUGUAGCGGGUCUGAGAGGAUGAUCCGCCACACUGGGACUGAGACACGGCCCAGACUCCUACGGGAGGCAGCAGUGGGGAAUAUUGGACAAUGGGGGGAACCCUGAUCCAGCCAUGCCGCGUGUGUGAAGAAGGCCUUUUGGUUGUAAAGCACUUUAAGCGAGGAGGAGGCUACCGAGAUUAAUACUCUUGGAUAGUGAACGUUACUCGCAGAAUAAGCACCGGCUAACUCUGUGCCAGCAGCCGCAGUAAAAC
rnacentral:rRNA from 1 species